rnacentral:sRNA from 1 species
AAAGAGGAACGCAGUCUAAAGACGCCACGUCCGAUGGCAACGACUGCGUGACCAACAUCGUGUU